UUUUUUACGCAUAUGUAAUCACCUCACUACAUUUUACUGUUCCUGUUGAUUUUCUAACAGGUAUAGAAAAACGCAUAGUAUGGUUUGUAAGUUCCUAUCUGCGUAAAAGGAACAUUAAAAAAGUGCUGCAUUGCGGUAAAUAAAAAAAACCGCUAUUGUCAGUAGCAUUUUUGCAUGUUAAAAAUUUUCUUUGUUUAGAUGGCGGUUGACAAGCCGCCUUUUUUUCAUC
rnacentral:ncRNA from 1 species